rnacentral:lncRNA from 1 species
AGGUUGUUCUGUCACUGUCAAGCAUUGAGAAAAGUGGCUUAUUUACGCAGGACAUGAUCUGAUCAGCUUGAGGUACUCCCCGGAUAUCAUUUGUCUUCUAGUCUAUUUUCUGUAUUUAGUUUUGGUUCCAAGCAGGCAAGACCAAGAGUUAUGUCGAUGAUGAAGGUACUAAACAACUAUGAGAUGGUGCUGAGUUUGACGCAAUAAAAGGCUCAAUGGUGGUCCUUUUCUUUGGAGAUGAUGGAACAUUAAAAUGAACUUGAUGGUGCUGAGUUUUUUGGAGCGACCGGAAUAACUUCCAUCAUUUCAGAAGUAGCCUAGUCUGGAAAAAAAUGAUCAUCGAUAUUUCAGGCCCCUUAAUUGAAAUUCUAAUCUAUAGUAUAUGACUUCCAUCUUUAUACGAAAUUGAGGACAUUAAUUACACGUUUACAAUCUUCACUGUGCCAUGGUCAAUUGACGGGAGCUGGAAAUGGCAAAGAACGAUUGUUAGUUGAAGGGUCAUGCAGAUAUGGAUAUCGUUAUCGGCAAACAUGGGCACAUCUCUGUGGAUUUGUGAUUCUUUUUCUGGAUUUUUGCCGAAUUCGACUUGGUAUAUGUAGUUGUACCAUGAUUCUGGGGUGUUUUUGUUGUUUUCGGUUUUUUGAAUGGCUUGGGGGGGGGCAUCAGUUCUUAUUUAAUACUUCAUCUAUUUAGCAUUUUUCUUUUGUGAUUUACAACUUAAAUAAGUAUAAUUGUGGAACGUCACCGUCACUGUUUCAUUCAUUAUGAUGUAUGUUACAUUCUAACUUUGGUCAUGCCUGAGAGCUUGUGGUCUCUUGGUGGAGUAACAAAAAUGAAAUAGAAAUCAAGAUAGCUGAUUUAGUAUAGUUUUGGCUGUUCAGUUAGGAGUAGCUGACUGAAGUACAGUUCCACCUGAGAGAGCUGAUGAGAUCAGUCUGAGGGAUUUCACCGCUAGGCUCAGAUUCCUUGGAAAAGGAGCACUCCCUUGGGCAUUCCACAAUUAAUGAAGCAUAUUUUCUUCUUCCUUGGACUUUAUUUUCUAGGACUGAUAUUAUUUUUCUGUGUAUGAAAAUAGAGAACAUGCAUAUUAUUUGUUCCACGUGGAUCGUAGUAGCCUGCAGUGAUGAAAUACGGAGGAUAUUUAUGUUACUCGAAGGAGUAAUAUUUUAUAGAUGGCUUGUGCAGGGGAGGACUCUGCAUUGGGAAGAGUUCUGGAUCAGAGCUGGCGGAGAGCCUUCAGACUGAGGCCCCGUCCUUCUUCCCCUCCUAUGGUUCUCUUUUCUUUCUGAUUAAGAAAGUCCAUUCCGAUGCGUGCCCGUGUUUAACUGGCCACCGCUGGACGUGACGGCGACCAGCAGAAUCAACAAAAACGUUUCUUGACUUCUUUCUGAUCGAGAGACUUCAGCUCCC